GACGAACGCUGGCGGCGUGCCUAACACAUGCAAGUCGAACGAAGCUCUGCGAUACAAGACUUCGGUCAAGUUGAACGGAUGACUUAGUGGCGGACGGGUGAGUAACGCGUGAGGAACCUGCCUUUCAGUGGGGGACAACAGUUGGAAACGACUGCUAAUACCGCAUAAUGUAUUCUGACCGCAUGAUCGGAAUACCAAAGAUUUAUUGCUGAAAGAUGGCCUCGCGUCUGAUUAGAUAGUUGGUGAGGUAACGGCUCACCAAGUCGACGAUCAGUAGCCGGACUGAGAGGUUGAACGGCCACAUUGGGACUGAGAUACGGGCCCAGACUCCUACGGGAGGCAGCAGUGGGGAAUAUUGGGCAAUGGGGGAAACCCUGACCCAGCAACGCCGCGUGAAGG
rnacentral:rRNA from 1 species